UACGUAGGGUGCAAGCGUUAAUCGGAAUUACUGGGCGUAAAGCGUGCGCAGGCGGUUCGCUAAGACAGAUGUGAAAUCCCCGGGCUUAACCUGGGAACUGCAUUUGUGACUGGCGGGCUAGAGUAUGGCAGAGGGGGGUAGAAUUCCACGUGUAGCAGUGAAAUGCGUAGAGAUGCGGAGGAACACCGAUGGCGAAGGCAGCCCCCUGGGUCGACACUGACGCUCAGGCACGAAAGCGUGGGGAGCAAACAGG
rnacentral:rRNA from 1 species